CCGUCAGCACCCUGACAAGCCUGGUGGGUCGCCUGGUGGCGACCAUUGAGGGGGGGGUACUGUCAUGAGUCUGUGUUCCCAGUGUGUCUCCCCUCCCCCGUGUCUGUGUCUCCCUCUCUCCUAGGGGCGGGUCCAGCGAGCCAGCAGGUGUGCAGGCUACGCACCUGUUCCUCAUUCUCAUCAGUCUCAGUUAAAGCCCGGUCUCUCCAGCCACUCGUCGUCAGAUCGUCCAGUUUCCCACGCGGAAUCCUCCUCACUCACCUGCAUUCUGCCUGCGCCUGCUGGAUCCGCCCCCGUCCUUCACCGUGCCUCACCGUUGUGCCCCACCACCUCGUCUCUCCACCCUGCCUUCGCCCUGCCUCACUGCACUGCCUCGCCAUCCAGCCACAACAUUCAAUUAAAGCACCUUUAACUGA